rnacentral:SRP_RNA from 1 species
GCUGAGCUUAGUUACUUGAGCUUGUAACCCGAGUGGGAGCAAUAAGAUGAUUGGGACAACCAAUUCUUU